AUUAAGGUCAGGCUGGACCUGUGAGCAACCUGAUCUAGCUGAUGCACAGCCUCAGCAUCCACGUCACUUCAAGCAACAGAUAUCUGGACCACUCUGAAACUUGUAGAUGAGGAGCUUUUAUGCUCUGCUGUCACAUCAGUGCAGUCACUAGAGCAGAUCUUACAGUUCACAGACACCUGAAGAGAUAACCCAAAAGGCUUUUUGCUAUGGAAAAAAGUCUUGGCUCAUCUUCCUCUGAGGAACCAGACAAUACAUCCUUGUCUUACCACUCAUACACAAAGUCUGGAGAAACAGAAUGAAUAUAAAGCAUGCCACUCUUCUGAUGAAGGAACACUUGACCUAUAAUAAGCUUCAGUCAGGCUGGAACCUUCACUCACAGGGAAUGCAAAAUUUUGCUAAUGUCAGCAGCUUUCAAAAAACAGAACUGAAAUUGAGCACAAACAAGUUUCACAGAUCCAGUACAACAUGUUAA